rnacentral:rRNA from 1 species
UCAGUGGCGAACGGGUGAGUAACACGUGAGCAACCUACCCUUCACUCUGGGAUAAGCCCUGGAAACGGGGUCUAAUACCGGAUAUGAGACGUACAGGCAUCUGUAGCGUCUGGAAAGAUUUAUCGGUGGGGGAUGGGCUCGCGGCCUAUCAGCUUGUUGGUGGGGUAGUGGCCUACCAAGGCGACGACGGGUAGCCGGCCUGAGAGGGCGACCGGCCACACUGGGACUGAGACACGGCCCAGACUCCUACGGGAGGCAGCAGUGGGGAAUAUUGCACAAUGGGCGCAAGCCUGAUGCAGCGACGCCGCGUGAGGGAUGACGGCCUUCGGGUUGUAAACCUCUUUCAGCAGGGAAGAAGCGCAAGUGACGGUACCUGCAGAAGAAGCGCCGGCUAACUACGUGCCAGCAGCCGCGGUAAUACGUAGGGCGCAAGCGUUGUCCGGAAUUAUUGGGCGUAAAGAGCUCGUAGGCGGUUUGUCGCGUCUGCUGUGAAAACCUAAGGCUCAACCUUGGGCUUGCAGUGGGUACGGGCAGACUAGAGUGCGGUAGGGGUGACUGGAAUUCCUGGUGUAGCGGUGGAAUGCGCAGAUAUCAGGAGGAACACCGAUGGCGAAGGCAGGUCACUGGGCCGCAACUGACGC